rnacentral:rRNA from 1 species
CGUUAGGCUUUCGGGGGAUACUACCAGGCUUGGGACCGGGAGAGGUAAGAGGUACUACGGGGGUAGGAGUGAAAUCUUGUAAUCCCUGUAGGACCACCAGUGGCGAAGGCGUCUUACCAGAACGGGUCCGACGGUGAGGGACGAAAGCUGGGGGCACGAACCGGAUUAGAUACCCGGGUAGUCCCAGCUGUAAACUAUGCUCGCUAGGUGUCAGGGACGGUGCGACCGUUUCUGGUGCCGCAGGGAAGCCGUGAAGCGAGCCACCUGGGAAGUACGGUCGCAAGGCUGAAACUUAAAGGAAUUGGCGGGGGAGCACUACAACGGGUGGAGCCUGCGGUUUAAUUGGACUCAACGCCGGAAAACUCACCGGGGGCGACAGCAAUAUGUAGGUCAAGCUAAAGACUUUACCAGAAUCGCUGAGAGGAGGUGCAUGGCCGUCGUCAGUUCGUACUGUGAAGCAUCCUGUUAAGUCAGGCAACGAGCGAGACCCGUGCCCACUGUUGCCAGCAUGUCCUUCGGGACGAUGGGUACUCUGUGGGGACCGCCGAUGCUAAAUCGGAGGAAGGUGCGGGCUACGGUAGGUCAGUAUGCCCCGAAUCUCCCGGGCUACACGCGGGCUACAAUGACUGGGACAAUGGGCUCCUACCCCGAAAGGGGAUGGUAAUCUCAUAAACCCAGCCGUAGUUCGGAUCGAGGGCUGCAACCCGCCCUCGUGAAGCUGGAAUCCGUAGUAAUCGCGUUUCAACAUAGCGCGGUGAAUACGUCCCUGCUCCUUGCACACACCCCCCGUA